UCUUCUCGUUCAAUGCAUUUC
ensembl:piRNA 21ur-3018 ncRNA